ensembl:lncRNA
AAUUCCCCGGGCCCACCCCUUCCUUAAUGAUCUAUGGGUGUGGAGCAGGGAGCUGCCAGAAUGCAUUUGCCACAUGAAAGUAAGUCACCCUGCACUGUGACACAGAGUGAUUUCUUCUAAAGAGUCUUCCCCUGUGAAGUGCUCCUCAGAUCUGCCUCCUCCCUGCUCCCUUUUGAUGAGCAACCCCAUGCACAGCACAGGAGGAAUAGCAGGGGUGGAGGCUGGCAAGAAGAAUGCCAACAGAACACCUUCUGGGGCCAGAGAGGAAGAUGCCCCGCCUGACAGCCCAGACUCCCUGCUGCUGGCAGAAGAGGACUCAGCCACCAACAAACACCAGCACCUGUGCUGUCAGGGGACAGGGGAGUCAAGUGGCUGUCCCUCGGCUUCCCCAGAGAGCAAAGCAGAUGAGAGGACUGGGGACAGUCCCAGCUGCUCCCCCCCCCCGCGACCCAGCCAUUCUGGAGCUCUUUAAAAAGCUUUGUUUCCCACUCUGGGGGCAGGACCAAGAUGCAGCAAGCAGGUUGGACUCCCAAAAAUGUAACCAGAAAGCCUUUCAUGCUGCCUUGCCAGACUGACAUUUUGACAAGUUGCCACGAGUGACAUCUGAUUUGUACAAAUUUCAAGACUAAUAAAUCUACCUGUCAAAGCGGAAACUUUAAAAGG